UAACUGCUGUGGUGGCUCUGAGAUUUCCAGCCAGCCUGACCAGGGGAGCCAGGAAAGGCGCCAACAUCCAGUCGGAGCACGGGACGGCGAGAACACGGAGCUGGAAACGGCCGGGCUAGCGCAACGUAGUCGGAAAGACUGACUCACGUGCGCCAGUGUGUAGGGGCGCAUAAGGCCUCCGGUCAUAACUUAGGUACGACUUUCUCAACACCUGAUGUUGCUCCAUUGUCACCUACCACACGGAGGAACAGAAUGGAUGUUUCUCUGACCUCACUGGUAGAGAUGAUUGAGAAGACAAACAUCGCAGAAAGAAAACCAUCUGCUAAGCUGUGAAUGCUUCUGGGAAAGAAAUUUGCCUAUUAUCCUGUCCUGUUUAGAAAUUGGGAGAAAGCAGCGAAGGAGACAAAUAGAAACACAGUUCUCUCAACAUUUACAUGUAGCAGAAGGAAAUAACAAAUAAACAAAUAAAAAC